rnacentral:rRNA from 1 species
AACGAACGCUGGCGGCAUGCCUAACACAUGCAAGUCGAACGAGACCUUCGGGUCUAGUGGCGCACGGGUGCGUAACGCGUGGGAACCUGCCCUUAGGUUCGGAAUAACUCCCCGAAAGGGGUGCUAAUACCGGAUAAUGUCUUCGGACCAAAGAUUUAUCGCCUUUGGAUGGGCCCGCGUUGGAUUAGCUAGUUGGUAGGGUAAAAGCCUACCAAGGCGACGAUCCAUAGCUGGUCUGAGAGGAUGAUCAGCCACACUGGGACUGAGACACGGCUCAGACUCCUACGGGAGGCAGCAGUGGGGAAUAUUGGACGAUGGGCGAAAGCCUGAUCCAGCAAUGCCGCGUGAGUGAUGAAGGCCUUAGGGUUGUAAAGCUCUUUUACCCGGGAUGAUAAUGACAGUACCGGGAGAAUAAGCUCCGGCUAACUCCGUG